rnacentral:rRNA from 1 species
GACGAACGCUGGCGGCGUGCUUAACACAUGCAAGUCGAACGAAGAGCGAUGGAAGCUUGCUUCUAUCAAUCUUAGUGGCGAACGGGUGAGUAACGCGUAAUCAACCUGCCCUUCAGAGGGGGACAACAGUUGGAAACGACUGCUAAUACCGCAUACGAUCUAAUCUCGGCAUCGAGGAUAGAUGAAAGGUGGCCUCUACAUGUAAGCUAUCACUGAAGGAGGGGAUUGCGUCUGAUUAGCUAGGUGGAGGGGUAACGGCCCACCAAGGCGAUGAUCAGUAGCCGGUCUGAGAGGAUGAACGGCCACAUUGGGACUGAGACACGGCCCAGACUCCUACGGGAGGCAGCAGUGGGGAAUCUUCCGCAAUGGACGAAAGUCUGACGGAGCAACGCCGCGUGAGUGAUGACGGCCUUCGGGUUGUAAAGCUCUGUUAAUCGGGACGAAAGGCCUUCUUGCGAAUAGUGAGAAGGAUUGACGGUACCGGAAUAGAAAGCCAUGGCUAACUACGUG